AAGCCAACCAACGGGUCUGUUUACUUGAAUGUGUUUCUGCAGAAAUUUAGAGAACGCUGGCAGUAGUAAAGCCGUGUUACGAGCCUUAAAGACAUUAAAGUCAUUAAGGUCCCUGAAAAUGGUUAUAAGA